rnacentral:rRNA from 1 species
GACGAACGCUGGCGGCGUGCUUAACACAUGCAAGUCGAACGGAAAGGCCCUGCUUUUGUGGGGUGCUCGAGUGGCGAACGGGUGAGUAACACGUGAGUAACCUGCCCUUGACUUUGGGAUAACUUCAGGAAACUGGGGCUAAUACCGGAUAGGAGCUCCUGCUGCAUGGUGGGGGUUGGAAAGUUUCGGCGGUUGGGGAUGGACUCGCGGCUUAUCAGCUUGUUGGUGGGGUAGUGGCUUACCAAGGCUUUGACGGGUAGCCGGCCUGAGAGGGUGACCGGCCACAUUGGGACUGAGAUACGGCCCAGACUCCUACGGGAGGCAGCAGUGGGGAAUAUUGCACAAUGGGCAGAAGCCUGAUGCAGCAACGCCGCGUGCGGGAUGACGGCCUUCGGGUUGUAAACCGCUUUCGCCUGUGACGAAGCGUGAGUGACGGUAAUGGGUAAAGAAGCGCCGGCUAACUACGUG